rnacentral:lncRNA from 1 species
GAGAGAAAGAGAGAGAGGAAGAGAAGAAGCACAGACACCACGACACAGAGAAGACGGUGAACUUCCGAUCGGCGAGACCACUCCGGCAAAUGCACAUCUUCAACUGCUAAAUCGCGGAAAGCUGCAAAGGCGUUUAUGUGAUGAAAGAACAUGAACUAUUCUAAUGGCUGCGGAUGUAAAGAUACGCAAAAACAAACUACGAAGGCGAGAACACUUGACAACCUCCUAGAAGAUUGUGCGGUGCACAUAAGGAAGUGAUCGAUGAGAACGAUCAAUUGCAGCUGAAUGAAUAUAACCCUAGUGGUGGCAGCUACGUAAUUAGCGAGCUCUGGAAUUUCAAGGAAAACCGAAAAGCUACACUAAAGGGGUUAUCAGCUACAUUCUGAAGUGCACCAAUCAAUAAAGAUCCACAAUUUUGUUACACCAGUACAGCGCCUUGUUUACGUUGUAUGUUACGGUGUAUGUUACAGUGUAUGUUACGGUGUAUGUUACGGUGUAUGUUACGGUGUAU